rnacentral:rRNA from 1 species
AGAGUUUGAUCCUGGCUCAGGAUGAACGCUGGCGGCGUGCUUAACACAUGCAAGUCGAACGGGAAAUAUUUCAUUGAGACUUCGGUGGAUUUGAUCUAUUUCUAGUGGCGGACGGGUGAGUAACGCGUGGGUAACCUGCCUUAUACAGGGGGAUAACAGUCAGAAAUGGCUGCUAAUACCGCAUAAGCGCACAGAGCUGCAUGGCUCAGUGUGAAAAACUCCGGUGGUAUAAGAUGGACCCGCGUUGGAUUAGCUUGUUGGUGGGGUAACGGCCCACCAAGGCGACGAUCCAUAGCCGGCCUGAGAGGGUGAACGGCCACAUUGGGACUGAGACACGGCCCAGACUCCUACGGGAGGCAGCAGUGGGGAAUAUUGCACAAUGGGGGAAACCCUGAUGCAGCGACGCCGCGUGAAGGAAGAAGUAUCUCGGUAUGUAAACUUCUAUCAGCAGGGAAGAUAGUGACGGUACCUGACUAAGAAGCCCCGGCUAACUACGUGCCAGCAGCCGCGGUAAUACGUAGGGGGCAAGCGUUAUCCGGAUUUACUGGGUGUAAAGGGAGCGUAGACGGUGUGGCAAGUCUGAUGUGAAAGGCAUGGGCUCAACCUGUGGACUGCAUUGGAAACUGUCAUACUUGAGUGCCGGAGGGGUAAGCGGAAUUCCUAGUGUAGCGGUGAAAUGCGUAGAUAUUAGGAGGAACACCAGUGGCGAAGGCGGCUUACUGGACGGUAACUGACGUUGAGGCUCGAAAGCGUGGGGAGCAAACAGGAUUAGAUACCCUGGUAGUCCAUGCCGUAAACGAUGAUUACUAGGUGUUGGAGGAUUGACCCCUUCAGUGCCGCAGUUAACACAAUAAGUAAUCCACCUGGGGAGUACGACCGCAAGGUUGAAACUCAAAGGAAUUGACGGGGGCCCGCACAAGCAGUGGAGUAUGUGGUUUAAUUCGAAGCAACGCGAAGAACCUUACCAGGUCUUGACAUCCGAUGCAUAGUGCAGAGAUGCAUGAAGUCCUUCGGGACAUCGAGACAGGUGGUGCAUGGUUGUCGUCAGCUCGUGUCGUGAGAUGUUGGGUUGAGUCCCGCAACGAGCGCAACCCUUAUUGCCAGUUACUACGCAAGAGGACUCUGGCGAGACUGCCGUUGACAAAACGGAGGAAGGUGGGGAUGACGUCAAAUCAUCAUGCCCUUUAUGACCUGGGCUACACACGUACUACAAUGGCGUUUAACAAAGAGAAGCAAGACCGCGAGGUGGAGCAAAACUCAAAAACAACGUCUCAGUUCAGAUUGCAGGCUGCAACUCGCCUGCAUGAAGUCGGAAUUGCUAGUAAUCGCGGAUCAGCAUGCCGCGGUGAAUACGUUCCCGGGCCUUGCACACACCGCCCGUCA